rnacentral:rRNA from 3 species
AAACUUUUAACAACGGAUCUCUUGGUUCUGGCAUCGAUGAAGAACGCAGCGAAACGCGAUAUGUAAUGUGAAUUGCAGAAUUCAGUGAAUCAUCGAAUCUUUGAACGCACAUUGCGCCCGCCAGCAUUCUGGCGGGCAUGCCUGUUCGAGCGUCAUUU